CCCGCUCGCUCGGGCUCGGCGCAGACCCGCCCGGGCGCGCUCCUCCCGCCGGCUCCGGGCGUCCCGCCGCCCAGCCGGGAACUGGCCGGCGAUCCCCGCCACCCUUAAGGGUGCUGCCGACACCCAGCGCGGAGGCUAGCCGGUGGAGGUCUCUACGGGAGGCUAGACCGCGGUGGCGCGCGGCUCUCCUACUCGCAGGUCUUCCUUUGAUAACAGUGGAUGGUGACUCUGCUCUUCUGCCCAAGAGUGGUUCAAAAUUGCUCAUCACAACAUGCCUUGCACCAUGCUUCAGGACAGAAAGGCAAUAGAAGUUGGGAAGAGAAGGGUUCUCAAAUAGGUAGGUAUUGCUUAUAUAAUAUAAUUUUUAUAAGUUUUUUUUUUAAAGAAUUUAAGAACUUUGGAAGCCACCUGGACUUACUUCAUAUGUAAUG